rnacentral:rRNA from 1 species
UACGAAGGGGGCUAGCGUUGCUCGGAAUCACUGGGCGUAAAGGGUGCGUAGGCGGGUCUUUAAGUCAGGGGUGAAAUCCUGGAGCUCAACUCCAGAACUGCCUUUGAUACUGGAGAUCUUGAGUCCGGGAGAGGUGAGUGGAACUCCGAGUGUAGAGGUGAAAUUCGUAGAUAUUCGGAAGAACACCAGUGGCGAAGGCGGCUCACUGGCCCGGUACUGACGCUGAGGUGCGAAAGCGUGGGGAGCAAACAGG